AACGAACGCUGGCGGCAGGCUUAACACAUGCAAGUCGAACGGUUGUAGCAAUACAGCAGUGGCGCACGGGUGAGUAACGCGUGGAUAUCUGCCUUUUGGUUCGGAAUAACUCCGGGAAACUGGAGCUAAUACCGGAUGGUUCCUACGGGAUAAAGAUUUAUCGCCAAAAGAUGAGUCCGCGUACGAUUAGCUAGUUGGCGGGGCAAUGGCCCACCAAGGCGACGAUCGUUAGCUGGUCUGAGAGGACGAUCAGCCACACUGGGACUGAGACACGGCCCAGACUCCUACGGGAGGCAGCAGUGGGGAAUAUUGGACAAUGGGGGCAACCCUGAUCCAGCCAUGCCGCGUGAGUGAUGAAGGCCUUCGGGUUGUAAAGCUCUUUUGGCGGGGACGAUGAUGACGGUACCCGCAGAAUAAGCCCCGGCUAACUUCGUGCCAGCAGCCGCCGUAAAAC
rnacentral:rRNA from 1 species